GAUGAACGCUGGCGGCGUGCCUAAUACAUGCAAGUAGAACGCUGAAGGAAGGAGCUUGCUCUUUCCGGAUGAGUUGCGAACGGGUGAGUAACGCGUAGGUAACCUGCCUGGUAGCGGGGGAUAACUAUUGGAAACGAUAGCCAAUACCGCAUAACAGUAGAUGUUGCAUGAUAUCUACUUAAAAGGUGCAAUUGCACCACUACCAGAUGGAUCUGCGUUGUAGUAGCUAGGUGGUGAGGUAACGGCCCACCAAGGCGACGAUACAUAGCCGACCUGAGAGGGUGAUCGGCCACACUGGGACUGAGACACGGCCCAGACUCCUACGGGGGGCAGCAGUAGGGAAUCUUCGGCAAUGGACGGAAGUCUGGCCGAGCAACGCCGGGGGAGGGAAGAAGGGUGUCGGAUCGUAAAGCUCUGUUGUAAGAGAAGAACGAGUGUGAGAGUGGAAAGUUCACGCUGUGACGGUAUCUUACCAGAAAGGGACGGCUAACUACGUG
rnacentral:rRNA from 1 species